CCUACGGGAGGCAGCAGUGGGGAAUCUUGCACAAUGGAGGCAACUCUGAUGCAGCGACGCCGCGUGAGCGAUGAAGCCCCUCGGGGUGUAAAGCUCUUUCGGCAGGGACGAUUAUGACGGUACCUGAAGAAGAAGCUGCGGCUAACUACGUGCCAGCAGCCGCGGUAAU
rnacentral:rRNA from 1 species